UACGUAGGGGGCAAGCGUUGUCCGGAUUUAUUGGGCGUAAAGCGCUCGCAGGUGGUUCGUCGCGUCGUGCGUGAAAGACCCCGGCUCAACUGGGGGAGGUCGUGCGAUACGGGCGGACUGGAGGCCAGUAGGGGGAUGCGGAAUUCCGGGUGUAGUGGUGGAAUGCGUAGAGAUCGGAAAGAACGCCAACGGCGAAAGCACUCUGCUGGGCCGACACUGACACUGAGAGACGAAAGCUAGGGGAGCGAAUGGG
rnacentral:rRNA from 1 species